rnacentral:lncRNA from 1 species
UUCAGACAGUGGAGUUGGGAAGACCUGUGAGUUUUGGUGAAGUAUUCAUCAAGGCUCAUACAAGAAAAGAUGGAACCUAUGUUGAUUUCAAAGCAGAAAAAGUUGCUGAGGCUUACAAAAAGAAAAAGGAAGAGAAGUUGGCUGACCUUAGGAAGGAUAACACUGAAAUCUCAGAGGGGCUUUUGCUAGCAAUAGAAGAGGACAACGAGCUGUUUAUUCAGGUCUUGUAUUUUUUUUUUAAUAUUUUACACAUAAGUUUUUGCAUUAAGAGUUUGGUGUUGUUUUCCAGCUUGGAAAUUGAUUGAUAAUGACUUACUCAUUGUUUUCUUUGUUGUAGUCAACUUUCUGCAAUGACAGAGGAGACCUUUUUGGUAUUGGAAGCCUGAAGAAGAAGCUUAAGAGAAAACCAAAUGACCCGAUCAGCUCCUAUUCUUUCAUGCACAUGCAACAAAAGCUUGAAGAAGCUGAACUCAAGAUAAAAGAACAAGAAGCCCGUAUUGCCAAGGCUGAGGCAGACCGUGCUCUGGAACAAGCUAUUAACCAGGCUAAGAUGGCUGAGUUCUCCAUUUUGCACAAGUACAUGCGUUUAACUGACCAAAAAUACCUUGAUUUCAUUGCCUCUGAAGCAUCAUCUCCAGCUGCUCCUGAUCAGUGAAAGCUCUGUGUUCUUAGGUUAUCAUAUUUAACUAACCCUAAAUUUACUAAACCCAAAAAUUUGAUAAUUAGAAUCCCUCCUAAACCCAAAAAUUUAACUAAUCCCGCCUAUAAACCCAAAAUUCAGUAAACCCGCCUAAAACCAAUUAUUUUUGGCCCAUUUAAUUAGAUUUUUUUACUAAUCAUUGGCAACCCUAAUCAAUCUCUAACUCUCUCGAUCUCACACCGCCUCCUCUCUAACUUGCGAUUUCACUCUCGAUCUCGACCUCUCACUCCGGCGAUUUCACCGAAGCUACUGCCGAUCUAUCUCCGGCGAUGGGUAGAAAGAGGCAGCGCAAACUCGUGGCACCGGGUUCGUCGAUUAAUAAAAAACCAAGACCAUUACCGACUCAGUAUGACUUCGUCUCUAAGGCGACGACGUCGAAUCUUCCACCGGUGGUUCUCCCUAACAACAACCGGCGCCGUCGGUAAGGGAUUAUCCACCUCCGAGGCAACUCUUUCCGUGCUCCACGUUCCAACCUCUGGAUCUGCUCCGGUUCCUCAAACUCAGCCUCCAACUCGAGUACCUCAGUCUUCUGGCGGUGAAGGUACUUCAUAUCCUCAACCUGGGCGGAGACAAUCUCAAUCUCCUCCACUUGAAGAAUCUCAAUCGUCUCCAUUUCAUGGAGCUCCAUCGCCUCACGGUUCUCAAGCACAAAACUCUCAUGGAGACCCAGAAGAUUUUGCUGAGUUCGAAAGGAGUUCACAACGGUCCUGUCUCCCAAACUCGAGCCUGGUACAACAUGGUAUGGUUGCUCUACUUUGUGUCUGUUGUGUGAGGUUUCAGUUUGUCUCCAUGAGAGUUUUAGUGUGUUUAAGUUUGAGUUUGAGUUUUAGCUGUUUGAGUUUGAGUCUAGUAAACAAUUUUGAGUCACGAAGUUGAGCUAAUUAUAUGUUUUGUGUGUUUAAGUUUAUUUCCGAGUUUUAGCUUUUCGUUUCAAAACCUUAGUUUUUUUUUUUUUUUUUGGUUCUGUUGUGAAGAUUAUAAUUAUGUUUCGCUUUUGUUUGAGUUUCUCUUCUUUCUGUCUGUUGUGUGAGUAUUAUACUAGUGUCUUCUCUCUGCCUGUUUAGUGUCUUCUCACUGCUUGUUUGAGUUUGAGUUUGCUGAUUGAGAGUCUCUGUUUUUUUCCUCUUGUGUUGUAGGUUUGGUUAUGACAAGUCCAGCUUGACCCGUAAGAUAACCAAGAUUAUGAAAAAGAAGUUUAAUAAGCCUUUCUACAGCUGGACCUGUGUGCCUAGAGAUAGACAAGAAGGAUACUUCGUUGAAUUUGCGGUAACCUUCUCUAUCUUUUACAUUCACUUUAUAGUUCUUUCUGUUGUAAAAAGAAAUAUCGGCAAGUAAAGUAUGCAAAAUGAAACUAGGUGGAACAAAGAACACUGAAACAUAUAUAAUUAUUUAUUUGUAUGUGAGAGAUAUGUAAAGUAGCUAGCAACCAUGCACGAUAAGCUUAUAUUUUCUCUGUUGGUUUGUAGAAAAAACACACAUGGAAUCCCAUGUUAACCGGUCUUGUUCAAGAACACUUUGAAUCCAUUUGUCAGCUCCGAAUGAAAGGUAUGGUCAGUGAUGUAAGGACCUCUCGCGAGCAACCGAAUUGGAUAGGAGAUACACUCUGGAAACAAAUGACUGCUUAUUGGGACACUGAGGCAGCAGUGGGAAAGAGCCGCAAGGCAUCAGCAGCUCGUUUGUCUGAACGUAAUGGUCUUGGUAUUCACAAGCAUAACUCAGGACAGAAGUCCUAUAUGCAAAUCGAACAGGAGCUGGUGAGUAUCAUUUUCUUUGUCUCGUUUUCAAUGUUCUUAAAGUGAAUCCGAGGAGAUUAAUCGUUGCUGGAGAAUAUGAAGACGUAGCCUCGAUUACGUUACAACAAGAAAACGAUGAUGCUGUUCUGAUGACUACAGUUGAAGACCUACAAUUUGAGCAUUUGGUACAUGCUCGAAAAGAACCAAUAAAUCUCGAUUUCGAGGUGGCAGAUGGGGAACCAAAUGACGAAUUCCGAUGUAAUUUAUCGUCUUCUGAUGAUGAUGUUUAAGUUAUUUGAGGCAAUAUGUAAUGAUAUAUAUUAUUGAAACAUUAAUUUCAUGGUGUUUUUUUUUAUAAAAAAAUUGUAUUUAGCUAACUAAUCCCACCUAAACCAUAAGUAACCCGCCUAUAAACCCUAAAUUUACUAAACCCAAAAAUUUGAUAAUUAGAAUCCCUCCUAAACCCAAAAAUUUAACUAAUCCCGCCUAUAAACCCAAAAUUCAGUAAACCCGCCUAAAACCAAUUAUUUUUGGCCCAUUUAAUUAGAUUUUUUUACUAAUCAUUGGCAACCCUAAUCAAUCUCUAACUCUCUCGAUCUCACACCGCCUCCUCUCUAACUUGCGAUUUCACUCUCGAUCUCGACCUCUCACUCCGGCGAUUUCACCGAAGCUACUGCCGAUCUAUCUCCGGCGAUGGGUAGAAAGAGGCAGCGCAAACUCGUGGCACCGGGUUCGUCGAUUAAUAAAAAACCAAGACCAUUACCGACUCAGUAUGACUUCGUCUCUAAGGCGACGACGUCGAAUCUUCCACCGGUGGUUCUCCCUAACAACAACCGGCGCCGUCGGUAAGGGAUUAUCCACCUCCGAGGCAACUCUUUCCGUGCUCCACGUUCCAACCUCUGGAUCUGCUCCGGUUCCUCAAACUCAGCCUCCAACUCGAGUACCUCAGUCUUCUGGCGGUGAAGGUACUUCAUAUCCUCAACCUGGGCGGAGACAAUCUCAAUCUCCUCCGCUUGAAGAAUCUCAAUCGUCUCCAUUUCAUGGAGCUCCAUCGCCUCACGGUUCUCAAGCACAAAACUCUCAUGGAGACCCAGAAGAUUUUGCUGAGUUCGAAAGGAGUUCACAACGGUCCUGUCUCCCAAACUCGAGCCUGGUACAACAUGGUAUGGUUGCUCUACUUUGUGUCUGUUGUGUGAGGUUUCAGUUUGUCUCCAUGAGAGUUUUAGUGUGUUUAAGUUUGAGUUUGAGUUUUAGCUGUUUGAGUUUGAGUCUAGUAAACAAUUUUGAGUCACGAAGUUGAGCUAAUUAUAUGUUUUGUGUGUUUAAGUUUAUUUCCGAGUUUUAGCUUUUCGUUUCAAAACCUUAGUUUUCUUUUUUUUUUUUGGUUCUGUUGUGAAGAUUAUAAUUAUGUUUCGCUUUUGUUUGAGUUUCUCUUCUUUCUGUCUGUUGUGUGAGUAUUAUACUAGUGUCUUCUCUCUGCCUGUUUAGUGUCUUCUCACUGCUUGUUUGAGUUUGAGUUUGCUGAUUGAGAGUCUCUGUUUUUUUCCUCUUGUGUUGUAGGUUUGGUUAUGACAAGUCCAGCUUGACCCGUAAGAUAACCAAGAUUAUGAAAAAGAAGUUUAAUAAGCCUUUCUACAGCUGGACCUGUGUGCCUAGAGAUAGACAAGAAGGAUACUUCGUUGAAUUUGCGGUAACCUUCUCUAUCUUUUACAUUCACUUUAUAGUUCUUUCUGUUGUAAAAAGAAAUAUCGGCAAGUAAAGUAUGCAAAAUGAAACUAGGUGGAACAAAGAACACUGAAACAUAUAUAAUUAUUUAUUUGUAUGUGAGAGAUAUGUAAAGUAGCUAGCAACCAUGCACGAUAAGCUUAUAUUUUCUCUGUUGGUUUGUAGAAAAAACACACAUGGAAUCCCAUGUUAACCGGUCUUGUUCAAGAACACUUUGAAUCCAUUUGUCAGCUCCGAAUGAAAGGUAUGGUCAGUGAUGUAAGGACCUCUCGCGAGCAACCGAGUUGGAUAGGAGAUACACUCUGGAAACAAAUGACUGCUUAUUGGGACACUGAGGCAGCAGUGGGAAAGAGCCGCAAGGCAUCAGCAGCUCGUUUGUCUGAACGUAAUGGUCUUGGUAUUCACAAGCAUAACUCAGGACAGAAGUCCUAUAUGCAAAUCGAACAGGAGCUGGUGAGUAUCAUUUUCUUUGUCUCGUUUUCUUUAACACUUGUCUCAUUUUCAUGUGUGUCUUUCUUCCAUUUCAUUUCAGAUAGUGGAGUUGGGAAGACCUGUGAGUUUUGGUGAAGUAUUCAUCAAGGCUCAUACAAGAAAAGGUGGAACCUAUGUUGAUUUCAAAGCAGAAAAAGUUGCUGAGGCUUACAAAAAGAAAAAGGAAGAGAAGUUGGCUAACCUUGAGAAGGAUAACACUGAAAUCUCAGAGGGGCUUUUGCUAGCAAUAGAAGAGGAC